UUCUGUAAAUAACUUGAUCCUUUUCAGUGAUAAUUUAUAUCUACAUAUAAUCAUAUUUAAAUCCCAUUGAGAAGCUACGGUUUCCACUAAGCGGUCCUGGUAAGGUUAUUUUAAGGUCUAGUUUUUUAGAUUUGAUAUUUAUUUUUUGACUCUUUUUUUUCUAUUCACAGAAAUUCAAUGGAAUUCUUAUCUAGUUGAACUUUGAAAAUAAAAAUCCUUUCAAAAAUUAUUCCUGUGUAAAAUGUGUUGAAUAGGUUUCUUAUUUUAAAUGCUAGAAAGGAGCACUAUGGAAUUUAAAAAAAUAAAUCAAGGCUUCUACAAGAGUUUUUAAUUGCACAAGAUUUUUUAUCUUAUUCUGUUUCAGAGUACCAGAAGCUGUCACAUGGUCUCUUGUGGGAGAUAUAAGAAAACGUUAUAAAUUGUUGUUGGCCAACAGAAGAAAAGAAUAACCAUGCAAUAAAAAUGAUGGCAACGAUGGAAGAUUUUAAUGCCUUUGUAGGAGAGUUGUUAGAAGAACAGAAACGUUCAACCAUGAAAAUCUUUACGUCAAGUCCGUGGUUUGGAUGCGAAAGACCAAGUGAAAAUGAUACUGGAAAGACUGUUUACCGUUGGACUUCUGUCCCAAUUUAACUUAGUGGAGACAAAAAGAACGGACCGCGGUGGAAAUAAGAGGGGGUUGAAAGGAUCAGCCGCUUUUGAAUUAAUAGUCGAAGUCGCAGCCAGCUCGUUCAACCAAAUCUUCUAUGUCUAAAUGAUCAGCAAUUUCUUUCUCGAUGGAAAUCGUAGCUACACCAACUAAACGAUCUUGACACAUUUGUGAUCUCAAAUAGGAUUUUAUUAUU